CAAGUGAAUAAUUCCAUUAAUGUAAUCAUUUCCACAAAUAAUCCAUGCUCAAUCAUCAAAUUUAAAAACUAAGAUUUGCCCAAAAAAAUUGAUAUCUCCUUACCUUAGUGUAGAUAGAAAUUCAAGAAUCAAUAACUUGAGCUCCAAGUAGUAUUCAUCUCAAAAAUCUGAAAAUUUUGAGCCAAAUAAAAUCUUAGAAUUUUAACAUAAAUCAUACUUUAUCACUUGAAACAAAGGAAAAAAAUUAAACCCAAACUUCGAGGAAAUAACAUUACCUCAUUUCCUCUUCUUCCCUUCUCUUCCUUUCUUCCUUCUUUCUCUUUUUCUUCUCUUUUUUCCUUAGUUUUUCUCCUUUUUCGGUCUCUCCAGCUCUCUGCCCCGUUUUUAU
rnacentral:lncRNA from 1 species